UUCUUCUUCCUCUUCUAUUUAAACAACCCCUUCCUUCUGUUCCGCUACCCUCACCUCGCCCUAUACUACUCUUUUUCAUUUCUUCAUCUCUUCCAAAUUCAAGCUUGUUUCUCUGUAGAUUUCUCCCUUUGAAAUGAUGCGAUUUAGAUUCAGUGUAUCCGCAAGCUUGAUUCAGAAGGAUAUCAUGGCUUGAAGUACUUUUGAUCAUAAAAGCACAGAUUCGGUUCUGGAGUUUAAAAAAGAUCUUCAUCAUAGAUGAUAAUAGUAUAGAACUCGAUCGAAGUUUAAUUCAACUUCCGGCAAGGUUUUGGAAGGCAGCAGAGAAAGAGAUGGACAAAAGAGGAAGCCAAGCCUAUGUUCUACUUCUUUUCUUCUUACUUUUUAGCUUCAACGUUGUACUGAAUGGAAAGGAACUCGAACUUCUUUUAUCAUUCAAAGCUUCUGUAAGCGAUCAGUUUCAGUUUCUCGCUAACUGGAAUUCCAAUUCCAGUUCUGUCUCUUUCUGCAACUGGUACGGUAUCACAUGCGUCAAUUCUUCACAUGUUGUCUCUAUUGAACUCUCUGGAAAGAACUUCACCGGAAAACUCUCUCCGUCUCUUCUCCUUCUACCUUCGAUCGAAAGCAUCGAUCUCUCAAAUAAUGAAUUCUACGGAGAAAUUCCGUCGGCAACCUUCUUCUGUUCCUCGCUUCGAUACCUCAAUCUCAGCAACAACAACUUCACCGGUUCGAUUCCUCACGGCUCCAUUUCUGGCCUUGAGACUUUAGAUCUAUCCAACAACAUGCUCACCGGCGAAAUUCCUGCGGAAAUCAGACUAUUUACUGGCCUUAAAGUUCUUGAUCUCGGUGGAAAUGUCUUGCAAGGAAGCAUUCCUAAUUCCAUAACGAACCUCAAAGAGUUGCAGUAUUUGACGCUAGCUUCGAACCAGUUAGUAGGUGAAAUUCCGCUGGAGUUGGGUCAAAUGAAGAGUCUGAAGUGGAUUUACUUAGGUUAUAACAACCUUUCAGGUGGAAUACCAAAAGAAAUCGGUGAACUGACUUCUUUGAAGCAUCUUGAUCUGGUCUACAACAAUCUCACUGGAGAAAUCCCAUCGUCACUCGGAAACCUCACUGAUCUUCAGUACCUCUUCCUCUAUCAGAACAGACUCACUGGCUCGAUUCCUCGAUCGAUCUUUGAGCUGGGGAAGCUGAUUUCGCUUGACCUAAGUGACAAUUCUCUCUCUGGACAGAUCCCCGAGCUUGUAAGUCAGCUAAAGAACUUGGAAAUUCUUCAUCUUUUCUCCAACAACUUUACUGGAAAGAUUCCGGAAGCCGCGGCUUUUCUACCUCGUCUCCAAGUUGUCCAACUCUGGUCGAACAGAUUAUCUGGGGAGAUUCCAAAGAACCUCGGAAGAUGGAACAACCUCACUUUACUGGACCUUUCGACGAACAAACUCACGGGAAAAAUUCCAGAGAGUCUCUGCAACUCCGGUCGCCUUUUUAAGCUUAUCCUCUUCUCCAACUUCCUUCAAGGCCAAAUACCUGAGAGCUUAUGCCGUUGCCGAAGCUUACAGAGAAUCCGAAUACAGAACAACCUCUUAUCCGGUGAAUUAUGUCCAGAGUUCACGAAACUGCCACUUGUUUACUUUCUUGAUAUCUCCGGUAAUAGCCUCUCCGGCAGGAUCGACCAGCGAAGGUGGGAUACGCCCUCUCUUCUGAUGCUGAGUUUGGCAAGGAAUAAAUUCGUCGGAAAUUUGCCGGAAUCCUUCGGCAGCGAGAAGCUCGAGAACUUGGACUUAUCGGAAAACAGCUUUUCAGGAAGUAUUCCCCGGUCUUUCGGCGACCUAUUGGAGCUAGUGGAGUUGAAGCUCAGCCAAAACCAACUUUCCGGUUUCAUCCCCGACGAAUUAUCUUCAUGCAAGAAGCUGGUGUGUUUGGACCUCAGCGGAAAUCAGCUCAGCGGCCCAAUUCCGGUAUCUCUCUCCGAAAUGCCGGUUUUGGGUGAGCUCGACUUGUCGGAAAACGAGUUGUUAGGUGACAUUCCACCGACUUUAGGAAAGGUGGAAUCGCUGGUUCAGGUGAACAUCUCUCAUAACCAUUUACACGGGAGGUUACCAUCCACAGGAGCAUUUUUGGGUAUCAACUCGAGUGCUGUCGCAGGCAAUGAUCUCUGCGGAGGCGAAGCUAUAAGUGGUUUAGCGCCAUGCAGAACGGGAAAAAAUCCUUUAUGGUGGCUUCUCAUCACUUCAUUUUUAGUUGUUCUGGUUGUGGUCGCGCUUUCGCUUUCUGCCGUGGCGUUCAUGCGACGUAGGAGUGGAGGGCAGCUCAAAAAGGUUGACCACCAGGAUGGUACCUGGGAGUUGCAGUUCUUCGAUGCAAGCGUCUCCAAUGCCAUCACGAUCGAUGAUAUCUUACUGUCUUUGAAGGAAGAGAAUGUGGUCUCCAGAGGAAGUGAAGGAACAUCGUACAGAGGAAAAUCUGCCGUGCACGACUUACAGUUUGUUGUUAUGGAGAUAAAUGAUAAAUCUGUGCCAUCAACUUUCUGGGUUGAAAUGACCGAGCUGGGAAAGCUUCAACAUUUGAAUCUAGUUAAACUAACAGGGAUCUGCAGGUCAGAGAAGGUUGGGUUUCUUGUUUACGAGUUCGUGGAAGGAACGAGCUUGAGAGACAUUCUUUGGGGUUUAAGCUGGGAGAGUCGGCGGAGAAUGGCUAUUCGGAUCGCAAAAGCUCUUCAAUUUCUACGCCAUCGUUUGCCGAAUUUUCUGAUCGGAAACCUCUCGCCGGAGAAAGUGAUCGUUGACGGAAAAUCAGAGCCUCGCCUACGACCCUCCCUUCCUGGGCUCGUCGGUAGUGACUCCAAGAGUUUUCUCUCGUCAGGCUACGUCGCACCAGAGAUAAGGGAGAAGAAGGAAAUGGGCGAGGAGAGUGAUAUAUACAGUUUUGGAGUUCUUCUAAUCGAACUCCUUACAGGCAGAGGCGCAGGAGACACAGGAUUUGGCGUGCACGAUGGCAUCGUAGAGUGGGCCCGUUACUGUUACUCGGAAUGUCACCUUGACACUUGGAUUGAUCCUGCAAUCAAGGGAUGCGAAUCAAAGUUUCAGAAUGAGAUCGUUGAGAUUAUGAAUCUAGCCUUGCAAUGCACCGUACCAGAUCCAGCUGCCAGACCCUCAGCGACGGAUGCAUUCAAGACCCUUGAGUGUGCUACAAGGUCAAGUGCUUGCAUAUCAGGGCUGAAAUUCUCAGCUAUUAUAUAGUUUUUAAGUUUCUGUUUUCGUAACCUUUUUUUUUUUUUUUUUUUUUUUUUUUUUAACCCUCAAGUGCUUACUAUAAGUUCUUACUUACAUGAGUGUUACUCAAUGUUUUGUUUGUUAUUAUGCCAACAUACUAAAGAGUGUAAAAAUGUAAAUUACCAAUCAAAUGCCAUCAGGCCAUCAUAUGAAUUAUAGUUUUUUGUCUAUUUUUUUUUUUAUUCCUAUCGUUUCUGCAUUUUGUGAUUGUAAAAUGUACUCAGAUAAUACUUAAAAGGAGAUCCACCCUUUCAGAGCUCUUCCAGAAGCUCCAUUGCUGA